rnacentral:rRNA from 1 species
CACGCCGUAAACGAUGAAUGCUAGGUGUCGGGGGUCGAACCUCGGUGCCGCAGCUAACGCAUUAAGCAUUCCGCCUGGGGAGUACGGUCGCAAGACUGAAACUCAAAGGAAUUGACGGGGACCCGCACAAGCAGCGGAGCAUGUGGUUUAAUUCGAAGCAACGCGAAGAACCUUACCAGAACUUGACAUUCUCUGCAUCACUCUUAAUCGAGGAAAUCCCUUCGGGGACAGAGUAACAGGUGG